rnacentral:rRNA from 1 species
UACGCGAGAAACCUUACCAGGGUUUGACAUCCUGCGAAUCUCUUGGAAACUUGAGAGUGCCUUCGGGAGCGCAGUGACAGGUGUUGCAUGGCUGUCG